AGUGAACGCUGGCGGCAGGCCUAACACAUGCAAGUCGAGCGGCAGCGGGUUCCCGCGAGGGGAUGCCGGCGAGCGGCGGACGGGUGAGGAACACAUCGGAAUCUGCCUGGUUGUGGGGGAUAACGUAGGGAAACUUACGCUAAUACCGCAUGAGACCCUGAGUCGACGGACUGGGGGUGAAAGUGAGGGACCUUCGGGCCUCACGCGACCAGAUGAGCCGAUGUCGGAUUAGCUAGUUGGCGGGGUAACGGCCCGCCAAGGCGACGAUCCGUAGCUGGUCUGAGAGGAUGAUCAGCCACACUGGGACUGAGACACGGCCCAGACUCCUACGGAGGCAGCAGUGGGGAAUCUUGGACAAUGGGCGCAAGCCUGAUCCAG
rnacentral:rRNA from 1 species